GGGCCCGCACAAGCGGUGGAGUAUGUGGUUUAAUUCGAUGCAACGCGAAGAACCUUACCAGGGUUUGACAUCCUGCGAAUCUCUUGGAAACGAGAGAGUGCCUUCGGGAGCGCAGUGACAGGUGGUGCAUGGCUGUCGUCAGCUCGUGUCGUGAGAUGUUGGGUUAAGUCCCGCAACGAGCGCAACCCACGUCUUUAGUUGCCAGCGGUUCGGCCGGGGACUCUAGAGAAACUGCCAGCGUAAGCUGUGAGGAAGGUGUGGAUGACGUCAAGUCAUCAUGCCCCUUACAUCCUGGGCUACACACGUACUACAAUGCUACGGACAAAGGGCUGCAAGUUCGCGAGGACAAGCAAAUCCCAUAAACCGUGGCUCAGUUCAGAUCGUAGGCUGCAACUCGCCUACGUGAAGGCGGAAUCGCUAG
rnacentral:rRNA from 1 species